UACAGAGGGUGCAAGCGUUGUUCGGAAUUAUUGGGCGUAAAGGGCGCGUAGGCGGCGUCGCAUGUCCGGUGUGAAAUCCCACCUCUUAAAGGUGGAAGUGCGCUGGAAACUGCGAUGCUUGAGUGCCGGAGAGGGUAGUGGAAUUCCCGGUGUAGAGGUGAAAUUCGUAGAUAUCGGGAGGAACACCAGUGGCGAAGGCGGCUACCUGGACGGACACUGACGCUGAGGCGCGAAAGCGUGGGGAGCAAACAGG
rnacentral:rRNA from 1 species